rnacentral:tRNA from 1 species
GCAGUCGUGGCCGAGUGGCUAAUGCGAUGGACUAGAAAUCCAUUGGGGUCUCCCCGCACAGGUUCGAAUCCUGUCGACUGCG